UACGUAGGGGGCAAGCGUUAUCCGGAUUUACUGGGUGUAAAGGGAGCGUAGACGGUUAUGCAAGUCAGAAGUGAAAGCCCAAAGCUCAACUUCGGGACUGCUUUUGAAACUGUGUAACUAGAGUGCAGGAGGGGUAAGCGGAAUUCCUAGUGUAGCGGUGAAAUGCGUAGAUAUUAGGAGGAACACCGGCGGCGAAGGCGGCUUACUGGACUGUAACUGACGUUGAGGCUCGAAAGCGUGGGGAGCAUACAGG
rnacentral:rRNA from 1 species